rnacentral:rRNA from 1 species
AGUUUGAUCCUGGCUCAGGAUGAACGCUGGCGGCGUGCUUAACACAUGCAAGUCGAACGGACUCAUAUUGAAACCUAGUGAUGUAUGAGUUAGUGGCGGACGGGUGAGUAACGCGUGGAGAACCUGCCGUAUACUGGGGGAUAACACUUAGAAAUAGGUGCUAAUACCGCAUAAGCGCACAGCUUCGCAUGAAGCAGUGUGGAAAACAAAAAGCUAAAGCUUUUGGUGGUAUACGAUGGAUCCGCGUCUGAUUAGCUAGUUGGCGGGGUAAAGGCCCACCAAGGCGACGAUCAGUAGCCGGCCUGAGAGGGUGAACGGCCACAUUGGGACUGAGACACGGCCCAAACUCCUACGGGAGGCAGCAGUGGGGAAUAUUGCACAAUGGGGGAAACCCUGAUGCAGCGACGCCGCGUGAGUGAAGAAGUAUUUCUUUAUGUAAAGC